CGACCUGCACGAAUGGCGUAACGAUGGCGGCGCUGUCUCCACCCGAGACUCAGUGAAAUUGAAAUCGCUGUGAAGAUGCAGUGUAUCCGCGGCUAGACGGAAAGACCCCGUGAACCUUUACUAUAGCUUUGCACUGGACUUUGAGCUUGCUUGUGUAGGAUAGGUGGGAGGCUUUGAAGCGUGGACGCCAGUCUGCGUGGAGCCAACCUUGAAAUAC
rnacentral:rRNA from 16 species